rnacentral:rRNA from 10 species
ACAUGCAGUAAUCAUGUAAAAUAAUAAACAACAGGUUAGUACUUUGAUGGAAGGCUGCCUGGGAAUACCAGGUGCUGUAAGUG